AUUCCUAUUCUCCUAAACUAAAUUGAUUGAAAACGAAAAAGAAAAAAAAAUUGUGUUGGGAUUUGGUUCUUCAGAAGACUCACUUCCCUCCGUCACUACCUUAAUGGAACUCACUUCCCUCCAUCAUCGACCAUCACCGCCAUAGGCCUUGCCACCGUUGACAGCCGCCGUCCAUCGUCCUACACUCAUUCAAACCGCAUCUCUAUUCCUCCACCUCAGAUCUGCAUUGUAAAUUCCUGAUUCCUUUAUUCCAAAUCGGAAAACAAAAAAAUAGUGUCAGUGUUGUGCCAUGGAAGCUUGAGCUCGUAGUUUUGGUGUGAGUCCUGCGACUGCGACACUCUUCCUUCUCUUUCUUUCUCUGCCUAUAAUGAAGGACUCCGAAUCCCAUUCGCCUUCUGUCGUUCGCCUCAAAUCGGGGGCAAGAAAUUCUGCACCACUGCUGAUACGUUGACUCAGCGGGAGCCUGAUUCAAUGCUGGCUGCUAUGUUCAGUGGUCGCCAUACUCUCUUCCUAGAUUCUGAUAAGUCAAUGUCAAAUUCUGUCUUUCUUUGUUUAUACUUGUAUAUGGUUUCCUCAAUUAUGCACGUUUGGCUUUGUUUAUUGAUUUGGUGAAAAUUGCAAUGACUGGUUGCAGCGAUAUGUCUUUGUUGACAGGGAUGGUAAACACUUCCAUCACAUUCUUAAUUGGUUGAGAGAUGGUGUGGUGCCCACUCUGGAGGACUCUGAAUAUAAUGAACUAUUGCAGGAGGCUGAGUACUAUCAAUUACUUAUGAUAGCAAUCACAAUGAUGAUGAAAUUGAGAAGACACUAGCCAUCCUAAUUGGUCUCAUAGCUGGUGUUGCUCUAAUCAUCGUUUUCCUCUCCUUCUUGUCCAAGGUCUGCGAAAAGCACAAAGGUGGUAAAUAAAUAAAGAAUGCUUUUUUCUUGGUAAAAUUAUUAGUCUUUUGGUGGCUAAAUUUGUAGCAUAUAGGCUAAGAUUUGUAGAGAUGGUUGUACCCUGUGGAGAUCCGAACGAUCCACAUUAUAGAAAAAAUGCUUUUGGUGCUAGGGAAGAUGGCUUGGGAAAAAAUGCACAUUCUCUCAAGAAGGUUUCAGAUCACAUAUUUGUAACAUGAUUUAUUUUUUUCAAGAGAAAUUUAUGUAUCAAUAUUUAAGUUUAAUGAAAUAUCUCAUUUUGUAGUAAUUAA